rnacentral:rRNA from 1 species
UACGAAGGGUGCAAGCGUUACUCGGAAUUACUGGGCGUAAAGCGUGCGUAGGUGGUGAGUUAAGUCUGAUGUGAAAUCCCCGGGCUCAACCUGGGAAUGGCAUUGGAUACUGGCUCGCUAGAGUGCGGUAGAGGGUGGUGGAAUUCCCGGUGUAGCAGUGAAAUGCGUAGAUAUGCGGAGGAACACCGAUGGCGAAGGCAAUCCCCUGGGCCUGCACUAACGCUCAUGCACGAAAGCGUGGGGAGCAAACAGG